rnacentral:rRNA from 1 species
AGUUGGUGAGGUAACGGCUCACCAAAACGAUGAUGUCUAGGGGUUCUGAGAGGAUUAUCCCCCACACUGGUACUGAGACACGGACCAGACUCCUACGGGAGGCAGCAGUGAGGAAUAUUGGUCAAUGGACGCAAGUCUGAACCAGCCAUGCCGCGUGCAGGAUGACGGCCCUAUGGGUUGUAAACUGCUUUUCCACGGGAAGAACCCUCCGACGUGUCGGAGACUGACGGUACCGUGGGAAUAAGCAUCGGCUAACUCCGUGCCAGCAGCCGCGGUAGUACGGAGGAUGCAAGCGUUAUCCGGAUUUAUUGGGUUUAAAGGGUGCGUAGGUGGGCUUAUAAGUCAGCGGUGAAAUCCCCCGGCUCAACCAGGGAAUUGCCGUUGAUACUGUUAGCCUUGAGUACAGUUGAAGUGGGCGGAAUGUAGCAUGUAGCGGUGAAAUGCAUAGAUAUGCUACAGAACACCAAUAGCGAAGGCAGCUCACUAAGUUGUAACUGACACUAAUGCACGAAAGCGUGGGGAUCAAACAGGAUUAGAUACCCUGGUAGUCCACGCUGUAAACGAUGAUCACUCGUUGUUGGCGAUAUACAGUCA